UUAAGAAUAUUUUAUUUAUCUUUUGAGAUUACAUAGUCAUUAUUGCUGAUCUAAUACAAUCACUUAGACAUAAAGAUUUCCAAGAGCUUCUCAGAAUGGCGAUCUUUUAGAGGUUCUGUUCCUUUCAGUAAGAUGACAGUGAGAACUAGAUUAUUAUUUAUAUAUAUAUAUAUAUGUGUGUGUGUAUAUAUAUAGUUUAGGACUUUUCCACGUAUAAUUUGCUGGUGUUGCCUAUUUUCUUUCCAUAGUUUUCCUUUAUAAAAAAGCUUAAUGCAACAAUUCACUUUGAUUUGUUUAAGAACCAUGACAAAGUUAAUUUUGAGAAAACCACAGGAGCAGCAAUUUCAGAUCUGUUCAGAGAAAAGCUAAGCAGCAAAAACAGCUUUGCAGGAGUGUGUGGCCAAGGGGGGAGCCGUGCUUACAUGGGAGGGCAGGAUGGGGAGGGAGCAGGGCAGAGGGGAACUAGAAGAGAUUCAUUUUUGGGGUACUGGGGUUUGAACUCAGGGCUUUGCCAUCAGAUCCAUACCCUCAGCCUUUGAUUUUGCCUUAGGCAUUUUUCAGGUAAGGUUAUGCUUUUUGCCUGGGCUGGCCUCAGUUUAUGAUCUUCCUAUCUGUUUCUCCUGUGUAGCUGGGACUACACCCAUUAACUACCAUGCUCAGCUUGUUAGCUGAGAUGAAAUUUUGCUAAUAUUACUCUUCUUACAAGGAGCUGGGAUUUAGGUGCAUUUUUAAAGAAGAAACAGCAAACUAAAUAUUUCCAUUAAAAGG